CUAAUCUUAGUUUAUUUAGAAUAAAAGUUUUGGGGACUUUAGGCCUCUACCAGAGAGAUUUGG
rnacentral:tRNA from 1 species